rnacentral:rRNA from 1 species
GACAGAACCCGCGAGCGUUAUCCGGAUUUACUGGGCGUAAAGGGUCCGUAGGCGGCCUGAAAAGUCUGACGUUAAAGGCUCCGGGCUCAACCUGGAGACUGCGUCAGAUACUUUCAGGCUCGAGGGCGGUAGAGGGAGCUGGAACUGCCGGUGUAGGGGUGAAAUCCGUUGAUAUCGGCAGGAACGCCGAAAGCGAAGGCAGGCUCCUGGGCCGACCCUGACGCUGAGGGACGAAAGCGUGGGGAGCAAAGGGG